rnacentral:rRNA from 1 species
UUCCGGUUGAUCCCGCCGGAGGUCACUGCUAUCGGUGUCCGAUUAAGCCAUGCGAGUCGUGAGGGGUUAUGCCCUCGGCGGACUGCUCAGUAACACGUGGAUAACCUGCCCAAGGGUCCGGGAUACCCCCGGGAAACUGGGGAUAAGACCGGAUGGGCCAGAGCAUCUGGAAGGGGUUCUGGUUUAAACGAUAUGGCCUUCGGAUGGGUCUGCGGCGGAUUAGGUUGACGCCGGUGUAACGUACCGGCGUGCCCGUCAUCCGUACGGGUUGUGGGAGCAAGAGCCCGGAGAUGGAUUCUGAGACACGAAUCCAGGCCCUACGGGGCGCAGCAGGCGCGAAAACUCUACAAUGCAGGCAACUGCGAUAGGGGGACAUCGAGUGAUACCCACCUUGGGUGUCUGUCCCACCGUCUAAAAAACGGUGGUUAGCAAGGGCCGGGUAAGACCGGUGCCAGCCGCCGCGGUAAUACCGGCGGCUCG